rnacentral:lncRNA from 1 species
GUUUGAGGCCAAGAGAAAACCAUGCGGGACCUGAUUGGAUGAUGCAUAAGAUGCAUAAGAAUCUGAAGUCUUACAGCGAAGAAUGACCACAGGUAAGGGUGGGAUCUCUGAUCUCACUUCCAGCUUAUCUUGCCAAGUCAGUGGGGGAUACAGCCUGGUUCCCACCACUGCAACCCAGAGAAGAAUGUUCACAGCACUGAGCUCCUUUGCUUCUCCUCUCAUUCAAACCUGAGGAGCUGUGGUCCAUGUGUAAGGCUGGUGAGGAACUAUGGACAGUACUUUACCUACUGUCCUACAUUUCACAGAUGAGCUGAUGACCACAUUUUAGUCUAAGGGGGCACAACAACUGAAACACCCAGAAAUCUAUUAAACUCAUUUAAGAAUAUUUCCGCCCUCUGUUUUGUUGUGUUUUCUUUGCCUGCUUUGCUUUUUUCUAAACAUGUGUCCCUCUUCUUCCUGUUCCUCCUCAUUUGCAAUAUUGUAAAACAAACAUGGGAUUUGAACAUUUCUGGCUGUAAUAGCUACCUCAAAAAAGAUGUGAAUAUU